rnacentral:rRNA from 1 species
UACGUAGGGUGCGAGCGUUGUCCGGAUUUAUUGGGCGUAAAGAGCUCGUAGGCGGCUUGUCGCGUCGACCGUGAAAACUUGGGGCUCAACCCCAAGCCUGCGGUCGAUACGGGCAGGCUCGAGUUCGGUAGGGGAGACUGGAAUUCCUGGUGUAGCGGUGAAAUGCGCAGAUAUCAGGAGGAACACCGGUGGCGAAGGCGGGUCUCUGGGCCUGUACUGACGCUGAGGAGCGAAAGCGUGGGGAGCGAACAGG